rnacentral:rRNA from 1 species
UACGUAGGGUGCGAGCGUUAAUCGGAAUUACUGGGCGUAAAGCGUGCGCAGGCGGUUUUGUAAGCCAGAUGUGAAAUCCCCGGGCUUAACCUGGGAAUGGCAUUUGGGACUGCAAGGCUGGAGUUUGGCAGAGGAGACUGGAAUUCCUGGUGUAGCAGUGAAAUGCGUAGAGAUGUGGAGGAACACCGAUGGCGAAGGCAGCCCCCUGGGUCAACACUGACGCUCAUGCACGAAAGCGUGGGGAGCAAACAGG